rnacentral:rRNA from 1 species
AGCGGCGGAUGGGUGAGUAACACGUGGGGAGCCUGCCCCUAAGUCUGGGAUACCAUUUGGAAACAGGUGCUAAUACCGGAUAAUAAAGCAGAUCGCAUGAUCAGCUUUUGAAAGGCGGCGUAAGCUGUCGCUAAGGGAUGGCCCCGCGGUGCAUUAGCUAGUUGGUAAGGUAACGGCUUACCAAGGCGACGAUGCAUAGCCGAGUUGAGAGACUGAUCGGCCACAUUGGGACUGAGACACGGCCCAAACUCCUACGGGAGGCAGCAGUAGGGAAUCUUCCACAAUGGACGCAAGUCUGAUGGAGCAACGCCGCGUGAGUGUAGAAGGUUUUCGGAUCGUAAAGCUCUGUUGUUGGUGAAGAAGGAUAGAGGUAGCAACUGGCCUUUAUUUGACGGUAAUCAACCAGAAAGUCACGGCUAACUACGUGCCAGCAGCCGCGGUAAUACGUAGGUGGCAAGCGUUGUCCGGACUUAUUGGGCGUAAAGCGAGCGCAGGCGGAAAAAUAAGUCUAAUGUGAAAGCCCUCGGCUUAACCGAGGAACUGCAUCGGAAACUGUUUUUCUUGAGUGCAGAAGAGGAGAGUGGAACUCCAUGUGUAGCGGUGGAAUGCGUAGAUAUAUGGAAGAACACCAGUGGCGAAGGCGGCUCUCUGGUCUGCAACUGACGCUGAGGCUCGAAAGCAUGGGUAGCGGACAGGAUUAGAUACCCUGGUAGUCCAUGCCGUAAACGAUGAGUGCUAAGUGU